UACAGAGGUCUCAAGCGUUGUUCGGAUUCAUUGGGCGUAAAGGGUGCGUAGGUGGCGCGGUAAGUCGGGUGUGAAAGCCCCCGGCUCAACUGGGGAGGGUCACGCGAUACUGAUCGACUCGAAGGCAGGAGAGGGAAGUGGAAUUCCCGGUGUAGUGGUGAAAUGCGUAGAUAUCGGGAGGAACACCAGUGGCGAAGGCGACUUACUGGACGAUUGUUGACGCUGAGGUGCGAAAGCGUGGGGGAGCAAACAGGG
rnacentral:rRNA from 1 species